GGGCUAUAGAUCAGUGGUAGAUCACCUGCUUUGCCUACAGAAGAUUCCAGGUUCAAUCCCUGGCAUCUCCA